AGGGCACCCAACCCCAAGCUUGUUGCUUCACUACGCAUUUGCGAGUCAAAGCCUUCCUGCGUUUUGUUCCUUCUGCUCCUCUUCCAUUUUUUUCGGCUUAGGGAACCUUUUGCAGUGCGGGGGACGGCUGCCAGCUCCAGAGCUAACGGAAGCAGAGAAAUGCUCUCUUCCGAGGCCUCCUCCCCGGCGGCCAUUUUCUGAAAAGGGAAGAAAACCACUUCUGUGUGGUUUACUAGCGCCCAGACUUCCCCUGGAGAUUUUCUUUAUUUGAGAGCAAGAGCAGGAAGAGGAGUGUGUGGGGGAUGCCACCUGAGCUGAAAUCAGACACUAAACCAGCUCAGCCCCCCAGGUGCCCCUAGUCCUCCAACUUCUUUCUACCCUUUCAUCCUUCCUGUUGCCCUUCUUCCUAAAAACACUGAUCUUCUGUUUACCUUCCAACCCCAUUCAGAACAAAUGUGCCAGGAGGUGGUGAUCCCAGGAUCUUGGGAUCCAGCCCAACACAACAUCGAGCCACAACUCUCCUUUGGCAUCAUGCUUCUUUCCAGAAUAAAGGGCCAGAGUGUAGUGGACUCAGUGGACUUAGCCAAAGCAGCCAAAACCAGCCAAGGAAGAGUAUUCUUGGCAGACUUCUCCUUCUGAAUUUGUUUUAAUAAAGUGUGGCUCUUUCCUCUGGUUCUGAUAUACCCCCUUUCACUUCCUUUGCUGUGCUUUUCCUCCCUUCCCUAGUUCUCUUAUUUGAAAUCAAGCAAUCCAUGCCUCAGUCUCUCUCCCACUUUUCAUCUUUUUUCCCUCCGAAAGCUUUCACCAUCAAAUAAAUU
rnacentral:lncRNA from 1 species